rnacentral:rRNA from 1 species
GUUGCUCGGAAUUACUGGGCGUAAAGGGCGCGUAGGCGGAUAGUUUAGUCAGAGGUAAAAGCCCAGGGCUCAACCUUGGAACUGCCUUUGAUACUGGCUAUCUUGAGUUCGGGAGAGGUGAGUGGAAUGCCGAGUGUAGAGGUGAAAUUCGUAGAUAUUCGGCGGAACACCAGUGGCGAAGGCGACUCACUGGCCCGAUACUGACGCUGAGGCGCGAAAGCGUGGGGAGCAAACAGG